UACGUAGGGUGCAAGCGUUGUCCGGAAUUAUUGGGCGGUAAAGAGCUCGUAGGCGGUUCGUCGCGUCGGCUGUGAAAACCCGGAGCUCAACUCCGGGCCUGCAGUCGAUACGGGCGGACUCGAGUUCGGCAGGGGAGACUGGAAUUCCUGGUGUAGCGGUGAAAUGCGCAGAUAUCAGGAGGAACACCGGUGGCGAAGGCGGGUCUCUGGGCCGAUACUGACGCUGAGGAGCGAAAGCGUGGGGAGCGAACAGG
rnacentral:rRNA from 1 species